GAAAGACAGAGGAACACCUGGGACAAGAUACAUUUCCAAGGGUAUGUGGCCCAGUGACCCAAUUCCUCCAAAAAGAAAAGUUGAAGAAGUUUAACAGCAGCUGAAAUUCCUCCCACUUUCCUGCCUCAGUCUUCGUGGUGUUGGAUUGUGGUCAUUGCAUGGGAUAUAUGCCUCCCAGUUGUAUCUGAAUGGUAUAGAAAGAUGGCCAGGGAUUAUAACAAUUGCAGAUACAUUCUAACAAGUGUCUUCUCUUCAACUAAUGGUGCCACAAGAGCCAAGGAGCCAUCUGCUGUCCCCCUGUUUUCUCAGUAGGUCCUAUGUCUCUAGAGUACUCUCUAUUGUG